AGAGAUUAAUACAUUUGUUUUAUUAUUCCAAGUUUUAUGUAAACAAGAUGAGGCAAUUCUUAUGUUUGCUUUUGAGAGGGUACAGAAUUUAUAGUAUUAUGUCAUGAUUUUAAUGUCUAAACUUGCUGAAAUGUUCUAAAAAAAUUGUUAUUGUUCAUUGUUCAUGUUUGGCUUAGCAGUAUAGAUAAUUUAAAAGCAGGAAUUUACAUCUGAUAGCAGAUAAUCACCCGAUCACUUAAGCUGGCAAAAUCACCAAUUAUUAUUUUGAGAAUGUACCUAUCCUAACCUUCAGAAUGACAAAAUUUGACUCUGAAUAGCUUAUAUUUGAAUGUAGUAAAACAGGUUAACUCAAUAUUUUUGUACUGUUAUAUACAUAGACACAAAAGUCAGUUUGACGUAGCAAAGGCAGCAGGCUAGAAAGCAGGAAACUGUAAGUUCUAGUUCCAUCUUAACAUAAAGCCAGCUGGGUGACCUUGGGCCAGGAGAGCUAACCAGUUCUGAAAAACCUUGGCAAGAAAACGUUUGUCCAAGAAUCAGACAUGACUAAUAUGGAAAUUACACACACACACGCACACACACACACACACAGAGAUGCAUCUUAUGAGAAUAUUGAAAGACUCCUGUGCCUACUUUGCAUGAAUACUUGGAUGGGCUUGGAUGCUUGUCUACUAUAGCAAAAGAACCAUCAUGCAAAUUCCAGUCUUCCAAUUCCUUAUUGUGGAAGAGGGCAUCUGAUGGUGAGAUAUACCAGAAUAAUGGCAGUAGAAAGCAUCCAUUCAAUUAGCAUCACUGAAUAUCGGCUGACUAUAGGCCUAUGGAAAGAAAAUCUCUGUCCAAAAUUACACCCUUCCCAAAUGAUAUGAAAUUGUUUUUCUAUCUGAUGAUUAGGAACACAAGAUGUUUGCAGGCAGGUUCAGAUGGCUCUCCUUCUGUUCUAAGGAGGGGAAGCUUAUCAAUAGAUUGAUCAGCCAAGCAUAAAUAUGCAUUAGAUGUGAAAUGGGCAAAUUUGUGAAUACUUAGACAGUUUACAAUACACUGAAGGGAAGAGCCAUGCUUUGAUAACAGGCUCACAGAAAUUUUCUGAGUGGCAUAUAUAUGGAUAUGGGGGGAAGUAGUUCUCUGGCAGAUUUACAGAUACCAGGCAACUCUCUCUUUGAUGGCAUUCCACAAUGAAUUUAUAAUUUCAUGAAUAUAAAAUUUUCAUGAAAACUUGGUCUGUGUCAUAACAAUUUGUUGUUCUUCUGGGCAGUUACAAAGACAAUUGGUAGAAAUCAGAAUAUUUGUUUGUAGGUGGCAUGGUUCAGUUGUUGUAAUUUGGAGCACAUGCUGUGUGUGGAAGUUUCCUUUGUAUUCUUGAUCUCUAGAGACAAAAAGGACAAAGCAUGGAAAGCAUGAUGGGAGAUCUAUAGUACCAUUAGGCUCAGGUUUCCUAUGCAUUACUGAUAAAACCUUUCUCUUGAUUUCGGUUUCCAUUAGAUAUACUCCCAUGCCUCUUUAAGCAGGUUCUUCCCUUUAAAUAAGCCUGCGGUCACAAGUGGAGUGCAUAUUUCAGGGUUUUUUUUUUUUUUUAGUUAAAGUUAUGUCUUGGUUGCAAUAUCCAAGGACACUGUUCUAGCAAGAAAUUAGAGACAAUUUAAUUUAGACUGACAUCUGCUAUAAAGAACACAACUUUGGCUACUUUAUUUACCUUAUCUUGCUUCCUUCAGUUCUGAACCAUAAACUAGAGAAGCUGGUUUGAUUACAAUAUAGUGGUUACAAACUAAGAAAACAGACAGAAAAGAAGACGAUAACUAAGCUUCAAGAGGGGAAUAAGACCUAUAUGGACAACAGAAACAUUCAAAGAGUUUUUUGGAAUUAAUAUACGAAUUUAUAUAAAGAACAAGAAAUCUCUUUAGAUACAAUAGAGGAGUAUAUAACAACUAAAAAUGUUCCUCAACUGUCGGAAAACUACAAGCAAAUUUUGAAUAGUUGAAUAACAACUUUUGAAAUAAUAGAACCAAUUAAAAGAGCUGAAACAGGCAAAACUCUGGGACCAGAUGGCCUACCGAGCGGAUUUUAUAAAAUUUUCGAAGAUCAACUACUUCUUCCGAUAAAAGACUUAAUGAAGUCCAUCUUACAGGGGAAUCCUAUACCAGACUCUUGGAAAGAUGCCUACAUUUCUUUAAUACCCAAAGAUAAACUGGAUGUGACUUCUGUGAAGAACUACAGCCCAAUUUCUCUCCUUAAUGACUUAAAAAAGUUUUUACAGGAUUAUAUACAUAAAGAUCAGAGUGGUUUCCUAUCUAAAAGACAACUAAAAGAUAAUGUUGAAGAAUGCAGCUUUUCAAAAGGACUGAAUGAGGUACAGCAGACAAACCUCACAGAAUCACACAGCUGAAAGGGACAUGCAUCUCAGAAGAAAUUCAUGCAGUGUUACAACUAAUUCAUUUUAAUUGUGUAAGCCAUCAUCAUUUGAGAAUAGCUUUCCAAGUCUAAUAAUAAAUGUACAAUAAGUAAUCCUGCACAUAGAAA